rnacentral:rRNA from 1 species
UACGUAGGAUGCAAGCGUUGUCCGGAAUUAUUGGGCGUAAAGAGCGCGCAGGCGGUUUAACAAGUCAGAUGUGAAAUAUCCGGGCUUAACCCGGAGGGGUCAUUUGAAACUGUUAAACUAGAGUACAGCAGAGGAUAGCGGAAUUCCCGGUGUAGUGGUGAAAUGCGUAGAUAUCGGGAGGAACACCAGUGGCGAAGGCGGCUAUCUGGGCUGAAACUGACGCUGAGGCGCGAAGGCUAGGGGAGCAAACAGG